GCUACUGACUCCUCUCCAGUCCCUGUAGAUAGAUUUCCUACUUUCAACUCUUUCAGAGCCUGGACCUUACUGGCUCCCCCCCACCCCACCCCAGCUGUGGAUUCCAGGGAUUGAACUCAGAUCAUCAUGUUUGACUGGCAGGUGCUUUCACCCCCUCAAGCCAUUUUGUCAGUCCUGGUUCCGUUUAUACAACCAAGGUAUAUCUGGUGUGCGAGCCUGGUGCCCAGAGGCCAGAUGGAGCCAUGGCUAGCCUAGAACUGGAAUUGCAGAUGAUUCUGAGUUGCCAUAUGAGUUCCAGGAACCAAACCCUGGCUCUCUGAGAAAGCAAUGUUCCUGACUGCUGAACCAUUUCUCCUGUUCCCAUGAUUUAUUCACGGCAUAUCUGUGGACUCUUUUAGCCCAAAUCUUCAUGUAACUCCACGGCAGAGGUUUCCUUCAGUCCCAGCCUUAGCUGGUUGCCCCACCCACUCAUGGCCAGGUUUGGGAAGACAUCUAUUCAAUGACUGAAUUGUAUAAAUAACAGCAGAACGUUUAAUCAAAAAGCAUUGGUUUUGAAAUGCUGGAAGGAUCGUGGUAAAUCAUCAAAGAAUGACUUUGAUGGAUGAGAGUUAAGAGCAAAGGAGGGAGGCUGGUCCCCUCCUGGGUCUGUCUGCCCAUUGGUUUAUUCGGUUUCUUUGGUUAAAUGAAGUCAUCUUUUACUACUUCGGGAACACUCUUUGUAAACCUAAUGUGUAAUACAACUGCUCACUUCCGGCUCCCACGUAACACUUUUCGUAAAUGAGGCCCAUUCAAAGGCAAUGAAAAGGCAACUUUGCCUAGUUUUCAAUACAAACUCUAAUCUCCGC
rnacentral:lncRNA from 1 species